CUUCUUCCUUGCCCUCUCCUUCAACAGAAUCCACACCAACGUCCUCAUAAUCCUUCGCAAGGGCAGCCAUGUCUCACAGGCCUCAGAAAACUCUCCUUCCUCCAUGCCCUCACCCACAUACCAGUGAACGAAGGCACGCUUGGCAUAUAUCAGGUCAAACUUGUGGUCCAUGAGAGCCCAGACCUCAGAAAUGGCUGUGGUGUUGCUCAGCAACGCGCACAGCUCACUGUACUGUGGCAAGGUCUCCACCAGGUACCACAGUGGGAGGCUGGUAAUUAAUGCCAACACUGAAGCCAGUGGGGCACCAGUCCACAAACUGGAGGGUACACUUGGUCUUGAUGGUGGCAAUGCUAGCAUUGACAUAUUUAGGAACCACAUCACCACAGUACAACAGGGAGCAAACCAAGUAUUUACCAUGGUGAGGGUCAUACUUCACCAUCCGGUUGGCUGGCUCAAAGAAUGCAUUGAUGAUCUCUAUUACAGAAAAUUGUUCAUGGUAGGCUUUCUCAGCAGAGAUAGUAGGGCAUAUGUGGCCAGAGGAAACUGGAUG
rnacentral:lncRNA from 1 species